rnacentral:RNase_P_RNA from 2 species
GGAGUGAGCUGGAUGGCCGCCGAGCCAAUAAGUAUUGGCUUGGAGGAAAGUCCGGGCUCCAUCAGGGUCAAGGUGCCACUCGAAAGGGUGGUUGGGGUAACCCAAAGGAAAGUGUCACAGAGAAGAAACCGCCCUGCACCUAUCUUUUUUCUAAUACAAUUCUUUUCAAAAGAGAAAAGGAUUGUUUAUUAGAUAUCUGCUUUAUAAAUUUUAGCAGAAAUAAAAAGAUGGGUGCAGGGUAAGGCUGAAACGGUGGUGUAAGAGACCACCGCAGUGGGUAGUAAUAUUCACUGGCACGGCAAACCCCACCUCGGAGCAAGACCAAAUAGGAGAACCUAACGGGGUGACCCUGCCCAUCAAAUCUUUGUAUUUGAGGGUUCUCGGGUAGGUCGCAUAGAUAAAUGGCCAUCCAACCUGUGAAGGCAGGUGGACAAAACCCGGCUUAUAGGCUCACUCCGCUU